rnacentral:misc_RNA from 1 species
AAGUCGUAACAAGGUUUCCGUAGGUGAACCUGCGGAAGGAUCAUUAAAAAAAGGGUCGCAAGACCCGUUUUUAAACACUAUCACCGCCUAUCAUCUAUGGGUAGGAUAUUCUUGUCUAUGGGUGAGAUGGAGGAGGUAGGGUUUUUUAAAAUCCAAUUAUUAUAAAAUAUAUCGUCUAAUGACGAACCAAAAAAAUUAUCAAAACUUUCAACAAUGGAUCUCUUGGCUCUC